rnacentral:misc_RNA from 1 species
CACUAGUAAAUGAUGACAAAAAAAACUAAAAAUGUUUCAGACAAUGAGAUACUUGGGUCUGUGCCAUUAGCCAUAAAGGAGUCUUGCCAUGAUACUAGUCUAAAAGUUCAGGAGGAAAACACUGUCAUGGGAUCUGGAGAUAUGAGUUUUGAGCAGACUGCUGUUCCUAGCACUAAUGUAGUACAUGAACGCAGUGAUGAU